UACAACCCUAAUCAUGGAGGUGCCACUGACUAUUUAAGCAAUCAUUCUGACUUUGUAAAUCAUGGUUUGAUUCUUUGGACACAGACCAGGCUUCGAUGGGUCGGAAAUCACGAAUCUGCUAAACGAAC